GAGAUUGUAGUUUAAUCGGUAAAACAUCAAGCUGUUAACUUGAAUGAUAAAAGUUCAAUUCUUUUCAAUCUCG
rfam:Trichoplax adhaerens isolate Grell Red Sea mitochondrion, complete genome.